UCUGAUUCAUCAGGUCCUCACGAGGAGCUCGUUAGAUGAGAUGCUACCCAUUAGAUGGAGGAUCUGCAUUUUGGGUGGACAGUGGACAGAAUAAAUCUUCAGCCCGUUUUUCCCCUCACCACCUGAUCCACUCAGCCUCUUCUAAACCGAUGAUAAAGAAAAAAUGAGGAAAUGCUGUGAAGAACUAAUAGAACGUUUCAGAAGCAGAACAAGUCGAGAGCAGUGAUGACCCUUUUGUUCCUGCUAGUACCUCCUGUCUGUCUGGCCGAACUCACCAUCAGAUGAUGUCUUGAACCUCACCUAGAUGGGCUGGUGGUGUGUGGCCAGGUUAAGAGCACCAACAGGAGUAAGAAAGUGACCUGCCUGGUUUUACCGUGUGUACUAGGGGAGGGGUUGAAAGCUUUCGGUUGAUACAUCACCUCUGGGAGUUGAAGAAGAAUGCAAUUAAGAGAGCUAAAGAAGUCAGUAGGUAUCUCUCCUGAACAAUUCUGGUUUUCUUCUAAUAGCUUUUACAAUUUUUACCUCUGUUAUGAAAUGCAAACUUUUAACCAAUAUUAGUAAUAGUAAUCUCAAAUCUCAUCAUCAUCAAAAUCUUAUUUAUGAAAUAUAGGAGUUAGUUCAUAUACAGCCUUAGCCUUUUCCACAUUAUAAAAUAUAUUCCAUAUAUAUGUGUGAUCUUCAUUUAAUAUUCAAGUAAAUGUUGUAAGAUAUUGUUAUUUUUAUUCUAACAUUUCACAGGUAUAGAAUCUGAAACUCAGAGGUCAACUGAUGUGUCAAAGAUACCUCCACAAAUCAGUACCUUGAUUAAAACUAAAAUUGGAGUCAUCUUCAUAUCUCCAUCUUUCUCCCUCUUCAUUAGGACCGAUUGUAGUCUGUUUCCCUCUCACUCACUUGCAAUCUUUAUUGCUUUAGUGUUGCAUUUGAUUUUUAUCUUUGUUUUUGUUUUAAAUACUGUCAUUAAAGUCAUAGAAAAAUCUAAAAUAAAACUGGUUGAAUAAAAAUUUUAAAAUCGACUCUAAUGUAAUAAACCAGACAAAAAUGAUACUUUAAAUGUUAUAUCUUCCCUUUAAACUACAAAUAUUCAUUGAGUGUAUACCCUGUAUUAGGCUGUUGGAAUAAAACAGGGAAGAAGACAGAAGAAACUGCACCGCCAUCUUAGAUCUUGCAGCCAAAUUCCUCUGAACUUUUCUCUAAAGACGUGCUCUGGAAAAAUGUUGAUCAUUUUCCUACAUCAUGGAGGUCUUUUCAUGACCACCUUUGUCUAGACAAUGUCCUGUUUUUAGGUGCACGUUUGAGGGCUGGAGUCUCUGACCCACAGUGCUGCAGCCUGCACGUGGUUUGUCCUGACUUCUUUGCUACUUCACUUUUCGUAAGGCUCUGAGAGUGCAGGCCCUUGUGGGUGGACACUGCAGGGUGAGAGGAAGAAGUAAACUACUUUUUUCCGUUUCUGAUGGGGGUGUGGGUCAGCAGCUAUAAGCAACAGGGACCAUGGGGGGCCUCAGACUUCAGCACCUGAGAGGCAGUUUCAGUCGUAUUGGGGAGAUGCAGGCAUCUGGGUUGCUGCACAUCACCAGGGCAGGGUUCUCUCAGCAGCCCUGGAGUGCAGAGUUCCCAUCAGCUCAGCAGUGAGGGGCACAUGGGGCUCCAGUGGUGAGGACUCUUGGUCCUUGGAUGACAACACUCCCCUGCCCACUUCUCCAGCCUUCCCUGUAACCCUUUGCCACCUCUAACCAAUCUUCUGUGUUACAUCUCUUCGGUUUGCAAUAUGUAGUGUUCGUAUAUGACUGGACAGUAUCUACUGGAGUUAAUAUCUAUCAGAGUAAUUAUAUCACAAUUGCAAUCUUCUCCUAAGAGUGAAUAGUGACAUUAAAAAUUUCAACAUUAUAAAUUAUGCAGAAAUAAAACUAAUUAUACAAAAAAUACACUCUGAAUGUCAGUUUUUCCCUGAGACAAUCUACCAUUUGAUAUACGGUGAUUCACACUUCUUAAUAUACAACAUUGAAUUACUUUUCCAAAAGCCUCUUCAAAUUUUGCUGCAGAAUUAAACUUCACUUGCACCAGCUCUGAAUUAUGUGUGCUUUUCCUUCUUGGUCAAUUUCAUAGGUGUAUCAUUAUUUGUCUUUUUUAAUUAAUAUGUUUAUAUAACUUUUCAUGUUUAUCCAUGUAACUACUGCUUUUGUGAAACGUGUGUUUUUAUCCUUUUCACAUUUUUUUCUAUUGAAAUGUUUUCUUUAUAAAUAUAAAUGUGUUUUUGGUAUGAAAAUAAUAACUGGCCAGAUGCGGUGGCUCACACCUGUAAUCCCAGCACUUUGAGAGGCCGAGGUGGGUGGAUCACCUGGCCUCAGGAGUUCGGGACCAGCCUGGCCAGCAUAGUGAAACCCCAUCUCUACUAAAACUACAAAAUUAGCUGGCGUGGUAGCACGUGCCCUGUAAUCCAAGCUACUUGGGAGGCUGAGACAGGAGACUCAGUCGAACCUAGGAGGCAGAAGUUGCAGCAAGCCAAGAUCACGCUAUUGCACUCCAGCCUGGGCAAAAAGAGCGAAACUCUGUCUCAAAAAGAAGAAAAAAAAUAGUAACUCUUUGUGAAUAGUAUCAACUAAAAUAUUUAUAUUUCAGUUUUCAUUCUGAUAUUUUGUUUCAUCAGAAUUUUUUAAAGUAUUUUGUUUAAUAUAUUAACUUUAAUAAUUUCAUUAACUGUCUCGUGCUUACAAAGUCUUUAUGCAUUUGGGGAUUAUGUAAAGCAUCUACCUUUACACUUUUAAUGAGUUUCAGAGGUUUUUUGGUACCUUUGAGUUAUAAUACAAAAAUAAUUUAUUUGGGUGUGAUAUGCAGUGAAUUGCUAACAUUAUUGCUUUUAAUUAAAGAUUAAAUUCCAAUGUUGAAUGAUAUUUUCUUUAAUUUCAAAAAUAAUUAGUAACUGUUCCAGGCACUAUCUAGGUUUAUGAUGUUUGAAACAAAGAUUCUUCCCACACAGCAUUUAUAUACUAGUGGUAAAUACAGGCAAUAAACUAAUAAAUAUGUAAUGAAAUAUCAAGUAUUAAUAAUCACAGUGAAUAAAAAAUAAAGGCAGAGAGAUG
rnacentral:lncRNA from 1 species